GGAGAUAUGGCUCAGUGGUUAAGAGCACUGACUGCUCUUCCAGAGGUCCUGAGUUCAAUUCCCAGCAACACAU
rnacentral:tRNA from 1 species